rnacentral:lncRNA from 1 species
UUUCAUUGGGGUAGUUUCUUUUGCUGUGUCUUCAAAUUUACUUUUUUUAAAAUGAUUGUCUACUUUGCUGUUAAUCCCAUCCUGUAUUUUUUAAAUCUAAACCAUCGUGAUUUUUAUCUCUAGAAGUUCAAUUUGGGUCUGUUCAUAUCUUCCAUGCCUCUACUUCACAUGUUCUGUCUUUCCUCUAGCUUCUUGAGCACAUGGAAUACAGUUAUACUAACAGUUUUUAUGUUGUCGUCUACUAAUUCUGUUAUCUGUGUCAGUUCUGGAUCAGCUUCAACUGAUUGAUUUUUUCCCCCUCAUUAUGUUUGUGUUUUCCUGCUUCUUUGCAUGACUGGUAAUUUUUGAUUGAAUGCCAAACAUUACGGCUUUUACCUUGGUUGCUGGAUAUUAUUGUAUUCCUAUAAAGAUUCUUGAGCUUUUUUCAGGAACACAGUUAAGUAUUUGAAAUAAUUUUGAUCCUUCUGAGCCUUGCUUUUAAGCUUUAUUAGGUGGGACCACAGCAGCAUUGGAUCUAAGGUUAAUUUUCACACUACUGGACUCAUCCAGAAGAUCCAGGAUAACCUGGCUAUUUUAAGGUGAUGCUGAAGUUGCAUAGAAGAUGCACAUGACCUGUCAAUGCAACGACCCUGCAGAUACCGGCCUGUGGAUGUCGGUCUCUGAGUAGUCCUAUUAGCUGCUCUUCCAGGGAACAGAGAGCCUGAGCAUGCAGGGAGGGCAGAAUAUCCCUCUCUAGCAUGCCUCCACAUGGGGAGAGCGUGGAAGUCUUCUGCCACCAAGCCAAGGCUGAAACAUGAGAGGAGAGGCAAAACCUCCCCUCCCAUGCCUGACAGCACUUGGCACUCGGCACUCGGCCACUGGAUGUGACAGUCGCUGAGCGCGAUGUAACCACAGGAUCUUUCCAACCCUGAGAAAGUAAAGAUACCAUUUGUGUCAUGAAUAUGGGCUGUCU